GACGAACGCUGGCGGCGUGCCUAAUACAUGCAAGUAGAACGCUGAAGAGAGGAGCUUGCUCUUCUUGGAUGAGUUGCGAACGGGUGAGUAACGCGUAGGUAACCUGCCUUGUAGCGGGGGAUAACUAAUGGAAACGAUAGCUAAUACCGCAUAACAAUGGAUGACCCAUGUCAUUUAUUUGAAAGGGGCAAAUGCUCCACUACAAGAUGGACCUGCGUUGUAUUAGCUAGUAGGUGAGGUAACGGCUCACCUAGGCGACGAUACAUAGCCGACCUGAGAGGGUGAUCGGCCACACUGGGACUGAGACACGGCCCAGACUCCUACGGGAGGCAGCAGUAGGGAAUCUUCGGCAAUGGGGGCAACCCUGACCGAGCAACGCCGCUUGAGUGAAGAAGGUUUUCGGAUCGUAAAGCUCUGUUGUAAGUCAAGAACGAGUGUGAGAGUGGAAAGUUCACACUGUGACGGUAGCUUACCAGAAAGGGACGGCUAACUACGUGCCAGCAGCCGCGGUAAUACGUAGGUCCCGAGCGUUGUCCGGAUUUAUUGGGCGUAAAGCGAGCGCAGGCGGUUUGAUAAGUCUGAAGUUAAAGGCUGUGGCUCAACCAUAGUUCGCUUUGGAAACUGUCAAACUUGAGUGCAGAAGGGGAGAGUGGAAUUCCAUGUGUAGCGGUGAAAUGCGUAGAUAUAUGGAGGAACACCGGUGGCGAAAGCGGCUCUCUGGUCUGUAACUGACGCUGAGGCUCGAAAGCGUGGGGAGCGAACAGGAUUAGAUACCCUGGUAGUCCACGCCGUAAACGAUGAGUGCUAGGUGUUGGAUCCUUUCCGGGAUUCAGUGCCGCAGCUAACGCAUUAAGCACUCCGCCUGGGGAGUACGACCGCAAGGUUGAAACUCAAAGGAAUUGACGGGGGCCCGCACAAGCGGUGGAGCAUGUGGUUUAAUUCGAAGCAACGCGAAGAACCUUACCAGGUCUUGACAUCCCGAUGCUAUUUCUAGAGAUAGAAAGUUACUUCGGUACAUCGGUGACAGGUGGUGCAUGGUUGUCGUCAGCUCGUGUCGUGAGAUGUUGGGUUAAGUCCCGCAACGAGCGCAACCCCUAUUGUUAGUUGCCAUCAUUCAGUUGGGCACUCUAGCGAGACUGCCGGUAAUAAACCGGAGGAAGGUGGGGAUGACGUCAAAUCAUCAUGCCCCUUAUGACCUGGGCUACACACGUGCUACAAUGGUUGGUACAACGAGUUGCGAGUCGGUGACGGCAAGCUAAUCUCUUAAAGCCAAUCUCAGUUCGGAUUGUAGGCUGCAACUCGCCUACAUGAAGUCGGAAUCGCUAGUAAUCGCGGAUCAGCACGCCGCGGUGAAUACGUUCCCGGGCCU
rnacentral:rRNA from 1 species